AUUUUAUGUUUUCAUAAAAUAAAGGAAAUUGGGAAAAAGGAGGUAGAAGCAAAAGGGAUAGAGUCUGAGAACUGAAGAACACGUGAAAGAGAGAAGAGCCAAAGGAGAAGAAGACCUUCGAAGAUUCGACUCUGAGAUUGAAGUAGCGGUUUAAGCGAUCGGUGAGGAUGACUCGUAGAGUUUAUCCGGUUAUGUGGAGUCGUGUCGGUCAUGCUCUGAUCUUGUAACACUGGGGGUCGAUAGUCUUAGCGUUACUUGAUAUACAUUGUUUACAUCAUUGGUGAUGGAUUAUGUAUUGUUGAUUUGUUUGGAUAUGUUUCUUAACGUUGUUAAAAUGAGUUUCCGCUGUGCUAAACACAUGUUUUGAUAUUGGCUAAAUUCUAAUAAAGCAUGACAAACGUCUUGGAGUUUUCUUUAUUUUAUUAAUUGUAACAUCCUUGUUGUAUGAUUACUCUGAUUAUUAUGUUUUUCGCGGGGGUUUUUAGAAGGGUGUUACAAUAGUGGUAUCAGAGCAGGUCGGUCCGUCCGGCCAAAUGUCGAGUCAGUUGAGUUGCACGACAGUUGAAUACUGUCGGCAUAUUAUCCCUUGGUACGCGACAUGUGAGUGAAUCACUGUUGGUACUUGGUUGUUUGUUGCGGAAGUUGGUUUGAAACAAGUGGGGAAGAAGCUUUGCUUCUCGGUUAUGUUUCAGUUGUAAGACGAUCGAUUCAGUAGGAUGUUGUUGGCAACAGUGCAAACGUUGUUGGAGUUGUUGUUUUCCGAAUCGAAGGUGACUUGAAAUUAGGACUUGAUUGGUAGUUAAGUUGGAACAUCUGUAAGGAAAGUGAUUAGAGGUAAUUGAUGAUUAUUUGUAAGAGAGGGAAAUUAAGAAGUUGAAAUGUAUCAGCCUUGCUGAUGGGCUGCGAAGUUGUCAGUUGAGUAGCCGUGCGUCUCGGAAGAGGUUUAGCUGCAAGUUUGCAGAGAGGAUUGCUGCCGUAUGUUUCAGAAAUCACACUUCGGCAAUGGGAUGUGUUGCUUAAGUUAUAAGAAUGUUUGGAAGUGAAGAGAUGUGAUAAGGGGCUGUUUGGAAUAUGAUCGAGUUGAAGAGAAUGAAUUUUGGAGUGAAAUUUUCGUAAGUAAAACGCAGGAAAUUGCUGAAUCGCUACAGAACUUCAAAAAUUCAUAACUGGAGUUCUGGAAAUCCGAUUUCAGUUCCGUUUGAAGCGUCGGAAAGCUAAAGAGAUGAACUUUGUUAUAAAAAUGGUUGCAGCAGCUGUAACAUAUUUAAUUGUGACAGGAUGAUGUUGGAAAGAGGUGAAGUUGCGGUUACGCGUGCUCUUAGAACUAGACUUGUUUGUUGGUACGUCACGGGAUGUCAGUGUCAGAGUUGAACGGAUUGAAGGAAUAAUUAAAAGGUUUAUUGAGAAGCAAUUUUAGGAAUUAAGUGUACCAUUUGAGGAGUUUUGGAAAUAUCAUUUAAAGUGUCGCUGCAUGGCGUCAGUGUUGCAAUUUCGGACAACGAUUGGAAAAUUCAUAUCUUGAGAUUCGAGUGUCUGAUUUAAGUGCCGUUUGGGGCGUUGCGAAGCUGACUUAAUAACCAUGAGAUAUGUUGUUAUUUGAUGUUUUAAACUUGUUUGAAAUGUGUUCCCAUUAUAAAAACAGAGGAGUGGGAAUUCUGGGUUGCUGGGAACCGGUUCCGAGGUAGGGACAACCCGGUUCCCCAUAGUAAAAAUCAGAGACGAGUUGUGGGAAGCAGUCAAGAACCGGUUCCUGUGUGGGAGGAACCGGGUUCUACUAUGAGUUUUUGGAGAAUUGUUUUACUUUAAAAACCCAUAACUUUUGAUCCUAUGAGGAGAUAUUCGGAAGUCGGUUAAGGAAGCGUGAAACUUGUUGAAUAUGAAUGCCUACUACCGAGAUUGUUUGAAACAAAAUUGAGUAGAAUAUGUUGUUGAGGAAUAAGUUGAUGAGAUGUUCGAUAAUAAAUUUGAUUUGAGUUCCGAUGGAUUUUAGUGAGGCGUGAAUUAGUAGGAAAGGUGGAACAAACUUCGAGAACGGUCGAAGUCGUAUUUGUGAUGCCAAAGCAACGACAUGUAUAGAAGAAGAAUUGUAGAGGAUUUCUUACACCUAUUGGUGUGAGGAAGACUUUGUUGAGAUUCCGAGUGGAAUGAUACUUGGACGCAAAAGAUGUCUUGGGAUUUAGAGUGAAACCACGAGUUAUGAAUGUUGUCGCAGUCUUUUGCUAAGAUGAGAAUUUUGAUUGGAAUGAGAUAAAUAGUAAUGUACGAGUAUAUUAGUGACUGUGAAGUUGGAAGUACUUAACAAGCGUGUGACGCUAAGUGACUAUGAAGCGGAUUGUGUAAAAUGUUUGGAUGUUGUUGUCUCACCGAUAAGAUCCAAUGAGAGGGAAGCGUGCGAGUUGUAAAGACUCAAGGUGAAAUAUUGAACUAUGACGAUGUUAAUGAGUUUGGGUGCAAACUCGGAAAGGACACUAUUAUGUAGUAACGACGGUUUAUGCAUAAAUAUGGUUGUCGGCUAUCUAUUGACAAAUUGAGGACUUGAUCACCCUUAAUCUCUUGUUGGUAGUAGACGGAAUCAUAUAAAUGUGAUGAGCUUGUUUUGUUACCUUAAUGGUAUAAGUUGUGAUGGAUAUUAAACCGUGAGAAUAAUCACUCACCAUGCUGUGGGACUUAUGGAGAAGUGAAUAGGAAAGAGUGCAAUUUAUUGGACGGUGACUUAAGACAGGUAAUCAGAGUCGCACAACGAAAGUGUGAUGUGGAGUGGUGUUAUGAGUACUACUCGUGGGCAGUGAGGAAUUUAUAUGUCGGAAGCCUACAUAGAGAAUAUGUAUUGAUCUAUAUGUUAGAUUUAGCAUCUAUUGGAUGCAAGGAUGUCGUGCUAGAGAAUUAGAACUCUUUUGAAUAAUUGCCGAGAUGAUGAGUAUGUUAUUGUGGAUGUACUUAGUUAACGAGUAUGUAUUCAGCGAAGUUAAGGCGAUGAGUGUAUACUAUAUGAUGCUAUAAUAAUUUUGUACUGUUAUAAGGUAUUAUUGUAGAUUUCUAGAUAUAAUGGGGAAUUAUACUCUAUGAAGGACGAAGUUGAUUUAAUUCUUGGAGAAGAGCGGACUUCAGUUUGAGCUAUUUUAUAAGCAAUGGUAUAUUAAGGAUGAUGAGUGUGAUUAUAAUUACUUGUGUGUACUCAUUCUGAUGGUUGAAAUGUUUAAAUAGAGGAAGUAAAUCAGGACUUUGUUUUGAGUGUGAGUAAGUAUUGCUAAGUGGUAGAUUAGUACCAUGUACGAUAAAGAAGGAUUCUUGAACGAAUGAGUAAAGAGAGUCGGAAUUGGGUAAAACUGAGAAAUCUAAUUGGUAAUGAUGAUUGUAAUGAGUAAUCAAAAUAGUGCAGCAAAAGCGGAAUAUAACGUGUUGGAUAAUUGCUGGUAUGACUUGAGAGGAGUCAGAUGGUUGAAAUUCAAUGGUAUAGGAAUGUUAUUAUCGAGCUCUUGAAGGAAGCAGUUGGUGAAAAGUGUAAGUAUUAUUUCAUCGCUCGGAUGGAAAGGUGUGUCUAAGGUUGGUACGAUCGGUAGAUGGAAUGCUUUACUGCAGUGUUGAUCGGGGUGGUCAUACUAUGGUUGUGUAAUUAUAUUAUUCAGUGAUCGAGCGUAUUGUAUGGGUUGUACCUCAAUGUUCUAUCGUUGUUAACCUUCUGGAGAUAUAGCGAGUGGUAUACUUUUGAAUGGUCAAAUGCGACGUAUGAGCUGAGAUUGAAUGCAUGAGGCAUGCUUAUGUUGGUUAUGUCAGAUGAAUUUUGAGGUUCGACUAAGAAAGUGUUAACUGAGAACGGGAGAGUAAGAUGAAGGCCUCCUAUUUGGAACUUUCACUAGAAGCAUGUUUUCGAGGACGAAAACUCUUUUAGUGGGGGAGAGUUGUAACACCCCAUAUUUUCUAAUUUUAAUUUAAUUGGAAAUUAAAUUAUUAAUUAGAAUUAUUUUGGUAUUUGGUUGAAUUAUUGUAGAAUUAUGGAUUAAGAGCCAUUGGGCCGGAUGGUGAGGUUAGCAGUAUGGGGGUGCUAAGUGAGUAAGCCCAUUACUAACUAUUUUAUGUUUUCAUAAAAUAAAGGAAAUUGGGAAAAAGGAGGUAGAAGCAAAAGGGAUAGAGUCUGAGAACUGAAGAACACGUGAAAGAGAGAAGAGCCAAAGGAGAAGAAGACCUUCGAAGAUUCGACUCUGAGGUAAGGGGUGAUUGCUCUAAUUAUGUAGUAUUAUGAUUUUGAUGAUGAUAGGAUUGAAUUAAGGGAUUAGAAUCUCUAUUUGGGAUGUUAGGUUUGUGAAAUACCAACACUGACAUGUAUGAUUUGAUGAAUUGACUGCAAUUGAUGAUGUAGUAAUGUUACAUGGUGUUUUGGUAUGUUGUUUGUGCAUUAUAAUCAUGUAUUUGGAGUAUUUUGAUGUUAUCGAUGAUCAAUUUCGUAAUGGUAUGAGUUGGUGUGUGUUUGGGAUGCAUAAAAGUCUUAAAAAUCAUGUUUUUCAGCUACUGGGUUCGUGGGAACCGGUUCCCAUGUGGGAGGAACCGGGUUCCACUGUGUUAGAACGUUAAAAAUGGCAUUUUUGGGUCCAGGAACCGGUUCCCAUGUGGGACGAACCGGGUUCCAGUACAAAAUUCCAGCAGCAUGUUUUUGAAAACUAUUCUAACCUUAAAAGCUUCUAAUUUUUGAACCGUAAGUCCGUUUUAGACGCCGUUUUGGACGUUGUUUCUUAAAUUAAAUACUCUAUGAUAUAAAGUAAAGAAAAUAACAAUAACUUGAUUUUAUUUUGAAAACCUUGAUUUAUUUCGUUUAUGGCGUGUUUUGUACAUUGUGUGCAUGAUUUGGUUAAUGUGACAAUGUGGUGAUGUUGUAAUGAUAUAACUGUGAUUUGACGUUAUAUGUGGUGUAAAUUAUAUAUGAUGAAUAGGUGAUAUCAGGGGUGGCCCUGAGCACGGGCUCGUGGGGCGGGAGCCCAGGGCCCCAGAAUUUUAGGGGCACCAAAUGUAUUUUUCUUACCCCUACAUAUAUUAAAAGAGAAUUUUCUAUUACAAAAAUACUUGCUAGAAAUUUAAAAAAAAAUACUGGUUAACAAAAUUAUAAGGGCACGACAAAGUUAAAAUUAAUAAAAGAAUGUAAUUUCUCAUAAAUAAAAUAUAAAAAAAUAAAAUCAAUUAAUUCCUCUAAAAUAAUAUUAAUUAACUUAUCCAUGAUUUUAGCAACUACAGAGUUUAAUUGAGGCACUAAAAUUAAAAUAAUGAUAUAGAAAAUAUUUUAUAUUAUUGAUCCCAAAAUUAAGAGUGAACUACUUCAACUACCUGAACAAGAUAAUAAUCUCAAAAUUAAGAGUGAAGUCGAAUCUUUAACAACUCAUGGAAUUAGAAACUUUAAAUUUUUAGUAGCUAUGAUUAUUUAGUAGCUGAAUCUUGAUUCUGCUGAAGAGUCUUUUCGAAAUCAUGAUUUCUUAUAUAUUGUAGAUCAAACAAUAGGCUCACUUGAUAUAAGAUUUAAGCAGUAUAGCACAUAUGAAAAUAUUUUUUUAGAUUUUUGUUUAGUAUUGAAAGGCUUAGAUCAUAAAUAAUUUUGUUUGAAGAACCGAAACUUAUUAGAGAAGUGUUAAUAGUUGAAUCAAAAUUAAGCUAUAUAAUAUUGAGUUCUUCAAAGACUUUUAAUUGUUUUCCUAAUGCAUGCAUAUAUUAAAGAGGAUUAUUGACUAAAUAGUCAUGCGUAAAUUUCAAUUGAAAAUAAUUUUUUGAAGAACCUUGAUUAUGAACAAAUUAUUAACGAUUUUGCAACAAAAAAUGCUAAGAGGAUGAUAUUUAAACAAUUUUAAAGGCUUGGUCAAUUUUUUUAUAGGAAAAAAGACCGGAUCAAGAAGAAUAAUAAUAAGUCUCUUUAUAGUGGUUUAUGUUUUGAUGUAGUAUAAACAUUGAUUGAAAGAUCCAUAUUUCUAUUCUUUGUGGACAAUAUCAAAUGAAAAUGUGUUUUUUUAUCCAAUUAUUUCUUUUAUCUUUAUGUAUUUCUUGUUAAAAAAAAUUAUAGGGGCACCACUCUUUUGAUUCGCCCAAGGCACCAAAACUCAAAGGACCGGCCCUGGGUGAUAUGGAUGUAAAGUCCGAGUUUUAUACCCUGUUUGUAUUAUUUAUUGGAUGAUGUUUUACUUGUAUGCGUGUGAUAUAUUUGUAUGAAUGCUAAAACUAAUGCAUGCUUAUUGGUGAUGAAUUGGUGAUGAUAAUGAGACGAUGUGAUACAUCGGAUUGGUGAUGUUGUAAGCAUGUUAUACGUUGCAUUCAUUCGCAUACAUUUUUGGUGAUGGAUCCCGGUGAUGAAAGUGGAUCAAAAUGGUGGGCAUAAUUCCCAUUGUGUGGAAUUUGUGCUGGUUAAACUGUAUCUUGGUGAUGAAAAAGAUCAGUUGGAUGGGUGUAUCCCAUGUAUGGUACCACAUGCAUAAGAGUCUGCAUGGUCUUUGUAUAAAUUGUGACAUGUCAGGAUGAAAUCCGGUGUUAUGAUUGUGUUGUGUUACUGUUGCAUACUAUUGACUUGUGCUUGUGAUUGGUAUGAAUUGAUUAAUCUGAAUAUGCUAAGUAGGGUGGAUAAUCGCUUAUGAAAUUCCAUAUCUAAUGAUUUAUAAUGCUAUUUAAUUAUGAUGUAGUCUCACCCUUACUUUGAUGAUUUCAGAUUGAAGUAGCGGUUUAAGCGAUCGGUGAGGAUGACUCGUAGAGUUUAUCCGGUUAUGUGGAGUCGUGUCGGUCAUGCUCUGAUCUGGUAACACUGGGGGUCGAUAGUCUUAGCGUUACUUGAUAUACAUUGUUUACAUCAUUGGUGAUGGAUUAUGUAUUGUUGAUUUGUUUGGAUAUGUUUCUUAACGUUGUAAAAAUGAGUUUCCGCUGUGCUAAACACAUGUUUUGAUAUUGGUUAAAUUCUAAUAAAGCAUGACAAACGUCUUGGAGUUUUCUUUAUUUUAUUAAUUGUAACAUCCUUGUUGUAUGAUUACUCUGAUUAUUAUGUUUUUCGCGGGGGUUUUUAGAAGGGUGUUACAAUAGUGGUAUCAGAGCAGGUCGGUCCGUCCGGCCAAAUGUCGAGUCAGUUGAGUUGCAAGACAGUUGAAUACUGUCGGCAUAUUAUCCCUUGGUACGCGACAUGUGACUGAAUCACUGUUGGUACUUGGUUGUUUGUUGCGGAAGUUGGUUUGAAACAAGUGGGGAAGAAGCUUUGCUUCUCGGUUAUGUUUCAGUUGUAAGACGAUCGAUUCAGUAGGAUGUUGUUGGCAACAGUGCAAGCGUUGUUGGAGUUGUUGUUUUCCGAAUCGAAGGUGACUUGAAAUUAGGACUUGAUUGGUAGUUAAGUUGGAACAUCUGUAAGGAAAGUGAUUAGAGGUAAUUGAUGAUUAUUUGUAAGAGAGGGAAAUUAAGAAGUUGAAAUGUAUCAGCCUUGCUGAUGGGCUGCGAAGUUGUCAGUUGAGUAGCCGUGCGUCUCGGAAGAGGUUUAGCUGCAAGUUUGCAGAGAGGAUUGCUGCCGUAUGUUUCAGAAAUCGCACUUCGGCAAUGGGAUGUGUUGCUUAAGUUAUAAGAAUGUUUGGAAGUGAAGAGAUGUGAUAAGGGGCUGUUUGGAAUAUGAUCGAGUUGAAGAGAAUGAAUUUUGAGUGAAAUUUUCGUAAGUAAAACGCAGGAAAUUGGUGAAUAGCUACAGAACUUCAAAAAUUCAUAACUGGAGUUCUGGACAUCCGAUUUGAGUUCCGUUUGAAGCGUCGGAAAGCUAAAGAGAUGAACUUUGUUAUAAAAAUGGUUGCAGCAGCUGUAACAUAUUUAAUUGUGACAGGAUGAUGUUGGAAAGAGGUGAAGUUGCGGUUACGCGUGCUCUUAGAACUAGACUUGUUUGUUGGUACGUCACGGGAUGUCAGUGUCAGAGUUGAACGGAUUGAAGGAAUAAUUAAAAGGUUUAUUGAGAAGCAAUUUUAGGAAUUAAGUGUACCAUUUGAGGAGUUUUGGAAAUAUCAUUUAAAGUGUCGCUGCAUGGCGUCAGUGUUGCAAUUUCGGACAACGAUUGGAAAAUUCAUAUCUUGAGAUUCGAGUGUCUGAUUUAAGUGCCGUUUGGGGAGUUGUGAAGCUGACUUAAUAACCAUGAGAUAUGUUGUUAUUUGAUGUUUUAAACUUGUUUGAAAUUUGUUCCCAUUAUAAAAACAGAGGAGUGGGAAUUCUGGGUUGCUGGGAACCGGUUCCCAGGUAGGGACAACCCGGUUCCCCAUAGUAAAAAUCAGAGACGGGUUGUGGGAUGCAGUCAAGAACCGGUUCCUGUGUGGGAGGAACCGGGUUCUACUAUGAGUUUUUGGAGAAUUGUUUUACUUUAAAAACCCAUAACUUUUGAUCCUAUGAGGAGAUAUUCUGAAGUCGGUUAAGGAAGCGUGAAACUUGUUGAAUAGGAAUGCCUACUACCGAGAUUGUUUGAAACAAAAUUGAGUAGAAUAUGUUGUUGAGGAAUAAGUUAAUGAGAUGUUCGAUAAUAAAUUUGAUUUGAGUUCCGAUGGAUUUUAGUGAGGCGUGAAUUAGUAGGAAAGGUGGAACAAACUUCGAGAACGGUCGAAGUCGUAUUUGUGAUGCCAAAGCAACGACAUGUAUAGAAGAAGAAUUGUAGAGGAUUUCUUACACCUAUUGGUGUGAGGAAGACUUUGUUGAGAUUCCGAGUGGAAUGAUACUUGGACGCAAAAGAUGUCUUGGGAUUUAGAGUGAAACCACGAGUUAUGAAUGUUGUCGCAGUCUUUUGCUAAGAUGAGAAUUUUGAUUGGAAUGAGAUAAAUAGUAAUGUACGAGUAUAUUAGUGACUGUGAAGUUGGAAGUACUUAACAAGCGUGUGACGCUAAGUGACUAUGAAGCGGAUUGUGUAAAAUGUUUGGAUGUUGUUGUCUCACCGAUAAGAUCCAAUGAGAGGGAAGCGUGCGAGUUGUAAAGACUCAAGGUGAAAUAUUGAACUAUGACGAUGUUAAUGAGUUUGGGUGCAAACUCGGAAAGGACACUAUUAUGUAGUAACGACGGUUUAUGCAUAAAUAUGGUUGUCGGCUAUCUAUUGACAAAUUGAGGACUUGAUCACCCUUAAUCUCUUGUUGGUAGUAGACGGAAUCAUAUAAAUGUGAUGAGCUUGUUUUGUUACCUUAAUGGUAUAAGUUGUGAUGGAUAUUAAACCGUGAGAAUAAUCACUCACCAUGCUGUGGGACUUAUGGAGAAGUGAAUAGGAAAGAGUGCAAUUUAUUGGACGGUGACUUAAGACAGGUAAUCAGAGUCGCACAACGAAAGUGUGAUGUGGAGUGGUGUUAUGAGUACUACUCGUGGGCAGUGAGGAAUUUAUAUGUCGGAAGCCUACAUAGAGAAUAUGUAUUGAUCUAUAUGUUAGAUUUAGCAUCUAGUGGAUGCAAGGAUGUCGUGCUAGAGAAUUAGAACUCUUUUGAAUAAUUGCCGAGAUGAUGAGUAUGUUAUUGUGGAUGUACUUAGUUAACGAGUAUGUAUUCAGCGAAGUUAAGGCGAUGAGUGUAUACUAUAUGAUGCUAUAAUAAUUUUGUACUGUUAUAAGGUAUUAUUGUAGAUUUCUAGAUAUAAUGGGGAAUUAUACUCUAUGAAGGACGAAGUUGAUUUAAUUCUUGGAGAAGAGCGGACUUCAGUUUGAGCUAUUUUAUAAGCAAUGGUAUAUUAAGGAUGAUGAGUGUGAUUAUAAUUACUUGUAUGUACUCAUUCUGAUGGUUGAAAUGUUUAAAUAGAGGAAGUAAAUCAGGACUUUGUUUUGAGUGUGAGUAAGUAUUGCUAAGUGGUAGAUUAGUACCAUGUACGAUAAAGAAGGAUUCUUGAACGAAUGAGUAAAGAGAGUCGGAAUUGGGUAAAACUGAGAAAUCUAAUUGGUAAUGAUGAUUGUAAUGAGUAAUCAAAAUAGUGCAGCAAAAGCGGAAUAUAACGUGUUGGAUAAUUGCUGGUAUGACUUGAGAGGAGUCAGAUGGUUGAAAUUCAAUGGUAUAGGAAUGUUAUUAUCGAGCUCUUGAAGGAAGCAGUUGGUGAAAAGUGUAAGUAUUAUUUCAUCGCUCGGAUGGAAAGGUGUGUCUAAGGUUGGUACGAUCGGUAGAUGGAAUGCUUUACUGCAGUGUUGAUCGGGGUGGUCAUACUAUGGUUGUGUAAUUAUAUUAUUCAGUGAUCGAGCGUAUUGUAUGGGUUGUACCUCAAUGUUCUAUCGUUGUUAACCUUCUGGAGAUAUAGCGAGUGGUAUACUUUUGAAUGGUCAAAUGCGACGUAUGAGCUGAGAUUGAAUGCAUGAGGCAUGCUUAUGUUGGUUAUGUCAGAUGAAUUUUGAGGUUCGACUAAGAAAGUGUUAACUGAGAACGGGAGAGUCAGAUGAAGGCCUCCUAUUUGGAACUUUCACUAGAAGCAUGUUUUCGAGGACGAAAACUCUUUUAGUGGGGGAGAGUUGUAACACUCCAUAUUUUCUAAUUUUAAUUUAAUUGGAAAUUAAAUUAUUAAUUAGAAUUAUUUUGGUAUUUGGUUGAAUUAUUGUAGAAUUAUGGAUUAAGAGCCAUUGGGCCGGAUGGUGAGGUUAGCAGUAUGGGGGUGCUAAGUGAGUAAGCCCAUUACUAACUAUUUUAUGUUUUCAUAAAAUAAAGGAAAUUGGGAAAAAGGAGGUAGAAGCAAAAGGGAUAGAGUCUGAGAACUGAAGAACACGUGAAAGAGAGAAGAGCCAAAGGAGAAGAAGACCUUCGAAGAUUCGACUCUGAUGUAAGGGGUGAUUGCUCUAAUUAUGUAGUAUUAUGAUUUUGAUGAUGAUAGGAUUGAAUUAAGGGAUUAGAAUCUCUAUUUGGGAUGUUAGGUUUGUGAAAUACCAACACUGACAUGUAUGAUUUGAUGAAUUGACUGCAAUUGAUGAUGUAGUAAUGUUACAUGGUGUUUUGGUAUGUUGUUUGUGCAUUAUAAUCAUGUAUUUGGAGUAUUUUGAUGUUAUCGAUGAUCAAUUUCGUAAUGGUAUGAGUUGGUAUGUGUUUGGGAUGCAUAAAAGUCUUAAAAAUCAUGUUUUUCAGCUACUGGGUUCGUGGGAACCGGUUCCCAUGUGGGAGGAACCGGGUUCCACUGUGUUAGAACGUUAAAAAUGGCAUUUUUGGGUCCAGGAACCGGUUCCCAUGUGGGACGAACCGGGUUCCAGUACAAAAUUCCAGCAGCAUGUUUUUGAAAACUAUUCUAACCUUAAAAGCUUCUAAUUUUUGAACCGUAAGUCCGUUUUAGACGCCGUUUUGGACGUUGUUUCUUAAAUUAAAUACUCUAUGAUAUAAAGUAAAGAAAAUAACAAUAACUUGAUUUUAUUUUGAAAACCUUGAUUUAUUUCGUUUAUGGCGUGUUUUGUACAUUGUGUGCAUGAUUUGGUUAAUGUGACAAUGUGGUGAUGUUGUAAUGAUAUAACUGUGAUUUGACGUUAUAUGUGGUGUAAAUUAUAUAUGAUGAAUAGGUGAUAUGGAUGUAAAGUCCGAGUUUUAUACCCUGUUUGUAUUAUUUAUUGGAUGAUGUUUUACUUGUAUGCGUGUGAUAUAUUUGUAUGAAUGCUAAAACUAAUGCAUGCUUAUUGGUGAUGAAUUGGUGAUGAUAAUGAGACGAUGUGAUACAUCGGAUUGGUGAUGUUGUAAGCAUGUUAUACGUUGCAUUCAUUCGCAUACAUUUUUGGUGAUGGAUCCCGGUGAUGAAAGUGGAUCAAAAUGGUGGGCAUAAUUCCCAUUGUGUGGAAUUUGUGCUGGUUAAACUGUAUCUUGGUGAUGAAAAAGAUCAGUUGGAUGGGUGUAUCCCAUGUAUGGUACCACAUGCAUAAGAGUCUGCAUGGUCUUUGUAUAAAUUGUGACAUGUCAGGAUGAAAUCCGGUGUUAUGAUUGUGUUGUGUUACUGUUGCAUACUAUUGACUUGUGCUUGUGAUUGGUAUGAAUUGAUUAAUCUGAAUAUGCUAAGUAGGGUGGAUAAUCGCUUAUGAAAUUCUAUAUCUAAUGAUUUAUAAUGCUAUUUAAUUAUGAUGUAGUCUCACCCUUACUUUGAUGAUUUCAGAUUGAAGUAGCGGUUUAAGCGAUCGGUGAGGAUGACUCGUAGAGUUUAUCCGGUUAUGUGGAGUCGUGUCGGUCAUGCUCUGAUCUUGUAACACUGGGGGUCGAUAGUCUUAGCGUUACUUGAUAUACAUUGUUUACAUCAUUGGUGAUGGAUUAUGUAUUGUUGAUUUGUUUGGAUAUGUUUCUUAACGUUGUUAAAAUGAGUUUCCGCUGUGCUAAACACAUGUUUUGAUAUUGGUUAAAUUCUAAUAAAGCAUGACAAACGUCUUGGAGUUUUCUUUAUUUUAUUAAUUGUAACAUCCUUGUUGUAUGAUUACUCUGAUUAUUAUGUUUUUCGCGGGGGUUUUUAGAAGGGUGUUACAGAUCCCGGUGAUGUUGUGGAUCAAAUGGUUGGCAUAAUUUCCAUUGUGUGGAAUUUGUGCCGGUUGGGCUGUAUCUUGGUGAGGAAUAGAUCAGUCGGAUGAGUUUAGCCCAUAUUUGGUACCACAUGCAUAAGAGUCUGCAUGGUCUUUGUAUAAAUUGUGACAUGUCAGGAUGAAAUCCGGUGUUAUGAUGGUGUUGUGUUAUUGGUGCAUACUAUUGACUUGUGCUUGUGAUUGGUAUGAAUUGAUAAAUCUGAAUAUGCUAAGUAGGGUGGAUAAUUGCUUAUGAAUUCUAUAUUUGACGAUUUAUAAUGCUAUUUAAUUUAUGAUGUAGUCUCACCCUUACUUUGAUGAUUUCAGAUUGAAGUAGCGGCUUAAGCGAUCGGUGAGGAUGAAUUGUAAAGUCAUGCCUUUAGUUUUAAUAAAUAGGUGUCGGUGUCAUGCUCUGAGACUUGUAACACUAGGGAACGCUUGAUUGAGAGUUGUUUAUGCUCUAUUAUUUUAGUUUGAUUGUUUGGAUAAUUAUUUCUUUUGAAAUUAAGGCAUGUGACCUUAUGAAUAGUAUUUUAUGUGA